UAAGCGGAGGAAAAGAAACUAACAAGGAUUCCCCUAGUAACGGCGAGUGAAGCGGGAAGAGCUCAAAUUUGAAAUCUGGUGGCCUCAGGCUAUCCGAGUUGUAAUCUAUAGAAACAUUUUCCGCGUUGGCCCAUGUACAAGUCUCUUGGAAUAGAGCGUCAUAGAGGGUGAGAAUCCCGUCCUUGACAUGGACUACCAGUGCUUUGUGAUAUGUUUUCAACGAGUCGAGUUGUUUGGGAAUGCAGCUCAAAAUGGGUGGUAAAUUCCAUCUAAAGCUAAAUAUUGGCGAGAGACCGAUAGCGAACAAGUACCGUGAGGGAAAGAUGAAAAGCACUUUGGAAAGAGAGUUAAACAGUAUGUGAAAUUGUUGAAAGGGAAACGAUUGAAGUCAGUCGUGUCUAUUGGACUCAGCCGGUUCUGCCGGUGUACUUCCUUUAGAUGGGGUCAACAUCAGUUUUGAUCGCUGGAAAAGGGCAGGAGGAAUGUAGCACUCUCGGGUGAACUUAUAGCCUUCUGUCGCAUACAGUGGUUGGGACUGAGGAACGCAGCUUGCCUUUAUGGCCGGGAUUUAUCCACGUACAAGCUUAGGAUGUUGACAUAAUGGCU
rnacentral:rRNA from 1 species